rnacentral:lncRNA from 1 species
UUAUCAGUUCAAUAAAUCGAAAAGUAAAACAUAACCACAAAAUAUUAUUCAAAGCUCCAUUUUAUUCAAUUUUUUUCAAUAUUCGUCACAUGUUUCUUUCAAAAAAAUAAAAUAAAAUAUUCGUUGACAUGUUGAUUUUUCAUACAUGUAGCUUACUGCAGCAUGUAAGAAAACAAAGAAACAAUGGAAGCCCCAACCAAUGAUCCAAGAACAGGCAAGGUUGCGGCAGCCACGCUGGAAUCGGCUCCUGGUGCUACGGCGGAAGCAGGAGAGGAGCUAGGACUAGAACCACCGGCUGAAGGGGAAGGAGCAGGUGCACCGCCAGCCAUGACGGCGCUUAUUGAGGCGGCAGCAACAAUGAUGGCGGUGGAGACCUUCUUCAUGUCCAUGGCGUAUAAAGUGAUUAUUAAACGCUCCGGAAAUGAGCGGGACCUGCGUUUAAUUACCGGUGAAUGGGGAUCCGCCCGUGAUUGUUAUUAUUUGCUUUGUUAUUGCAGGUCUGAAGAACAAUGAUGGUGGCGAGGAUCAUUUAUAGGUGAAAAUUCAUGGCUAUUUUUAGUGACGAAUUUUUUUUUUAAAAAAUUACGUGUUUGGUUUUUGCAUGGCUUGCGGGAUAGACAUGGAAAUUUUUUAAUAUUUUUUUAACGAUUAUGACUGGUUUUUAGAUAUGGAGAUAUUUAAUGAAUUACAGGUUAAAUUUUUUUUUUAAAACUUUACAGGUUAAUUAUUUUUUGGUAACAAGAAAAGGAUUAAAAAAUUAACAAGAAAUAACAGGCUUUGAACAUGCAAACAUGCUAUCCAUCCUUACAAUAUGACUGACCAAAGAGGGGGCAUUAUAAUAUAUUUGUAUACCAACCGACACUUCUUUCAUCAUAUCAGCCAAUGAGUAUGCAACGGAGUUUACUUCUUUUGGGAUUUGCUUGAAGAUAACAUUCAAAUCACGACUUAUUAACUCUCGAAUUCUAAGAACCAAAUCUUUUUGAACACACCCUCUCAAUUCGCCUGUGGUCUCUUUAAAGGCAAGUGCACAACCUGUUUCCACUAAGAUAUCUCGUCAUUGGACAUCCCAUGCCAUAAUAAGCCCAUUAUAGAUCGCCUAAAGCUCUGCUUGCUAAACACCACAUUUACCAAUAUUUCUACCUACUUCACGAAUUCAAUUGCCAAAUUCAUCUCUCGCCACUGCUGCCGAAGCUACCAAACCCGAUACUAGAUCACGAGCCCCGUCAUUAUUUAGUUUAAUGGUACCUAUUGGAGGAGGGAUCCAUCGGCUACACCUAGUUUGUCUUUUGGUACAAUCAUCCGGUCUUCCAGUUGUGCACUUAAAGCUUUAAGCUAAUUCUAUGAAGAGUGAAGGAUAAAAUCUUUACUAAACGGAACAUCCUGGAACACAUGCUAACAUCUUUAUUUCCAUAUCUUCCAAUAGAGUAUACCAAACAGGGACUUCCAAUCAAGCUCAUGAAAAAUUAAGCCAAAUACAUUUCUCGAGUUAACCCUUAGCCAGUCCUUUAGCGAGUAAGAGAAGAAAUGAUACAUUAAUCUCGGAUGAAUGGCCUGCUCCCAAAUAUCUCUUACCCUACAACAAUCCCUUAAGGAAUGAAGAAUAGAUUCAUUUACACAUCCGCAAAGCUUACAACAAGAAGAAUCUGACAUACCUCUUCUGUAAUGUUCCGCAUUAGUUAAUAAGCGUUCCUUGAAAACCAAUCAAAGAAAAUACUCUUACAUGUUGUGGUCCUACAAAAGACCACACGAGUUUCCAACUAUCUUCAGAAGGAUUCAAGGCAUCUUUACUGAGAAAAUUAUAGGCAGACUUAACUAAUAAACUCCCACUAGAAGGCCAUUGUGAUAUCAUUGAAUUGAGACCAACUAGGCAAUUAGGAACUGGAAUACCUGCAAUGUAGGAUAAAAUAAUAUCAUCUAAGAAACAUCUUAGGUACUGCCAGUUCCAAUCCCCAUCCAUCGACACCAUCUCCCUAGGAGAAAUGGAUUCAUCAAUAAACGAGAUUUUGUGGAAAAAAUUAAUCAAAGGUCCAACCCCAACGACCCAAUUAUCAGUCCAAAAUUUGAUACAAUUACCAUCACCCACAGACCAUGCAACACAUUUGCGCAAAAGUGGCCAAAUCUUCGCAAGUGAUCUCCAAAGAAAGGAACAACAAUUCUUUGUAAUGUCAACAGGGAAAUCAUCAAUUAUUUGGUAUUUAGCUCUCAAGAAAAGAACACAUAAAGCCUUUUUAUAUGUAAGGAAGUUAAACUUCAACUUGAGCAGAAGUCAGUAUACCUUACAGUUUUGGCAUGGCCUAUUACACGGCUUGGCACACGGGCGUGUGUGGCCACUUCGAAGGGCACACGGGCUAAACACAUGGGCGUGUGGUUGGCCGUGUGACCCAAGUCAGUAUGUAUACCUUGUUUUCAGACGGCUUGAGACACAGGCGUGCCUGGAGCCGUGUGAGGCACACGGCCUGUUCACACGGGCGUGUGACCCCUGUAUGUUUGAAAAUUUUCUAAGUUUCCAAAAUUUUUGUAUGAUAUCGGUUUAAUCUCGAACCACUUCUAAAGCCUGUUUAAGGCCUCGUAGGCCUUUAUAAGGGACUAUGUGGUUGUAUUACAUGAUGUAUGAGAAUGAAUGCUUAAUGUUGUGAAUGUAUGUUAUAUAUUGUGUAUUGAUCAGUAAUACUUCUUAACUCUAUUCCGGCAACAAAUACGGAUUAGGGGUGUUACAUUAGUCAUAGAAAUGAGAAUAGGCCUAUGAUCUGACUUCAACCGCGGAAGGUGAAAUAGUAAGGCAUCAAAAAAGGUACGACACCACCCACCAUUACUAAUAACCCGAUCCAAUCGAAUAUGUUUUAAUAUUGAAUGAUAAUGAAUUUUUAUUUAAAUUUAAUUAAAUUAUUUGAAUAUGUUUUAAUUUUUUCAUUAUUAUUUUUAAAAUCAUAAAAUUUGAUUUGGACAUAUAUGAUUUUUUUUACGAAACAGGUUGUGAGGUGGAAUUAAGGUGUAUUAAUUUCAUAGAUUUUAUAUUUAUUUAUUUUGAAUGGAUUUUUUUAGAUAAAAAGCUUAAUGGUAAAGUAAAGUGAGGCGAUUCUAAUCAUUUUUAUGUAAAUAUUACAUAAUAAGAUGUACUAAAAAAAUAUUAAGUACUAUGAUAAAUGUAGAUUUAUUCAUGGAAAGGACUAUUCAGCCCGGUCCAAAGGCCAACUAAAAAAUAAAAAGGUUUGGGUAAAAAUAUAGAUUCAAAAAAUGGACUUAGUAAUAUAUAUAUACACACGUAAUUCUGCAUUGGCAAUAAUGUCUAUACCAAUAGAGCUAAGAGUCAAUCGGCUAAUACCAUAAAUUUUAUAUUUAUUAAUUUUGAGUAGAUAUUUUUUUAAACUAAAACCAUAAUGCUAAAGUAAAGCGAGAUGAUUCUGAUCAUUUAUAUGUAAAUAUUAUAUUUAUAUGCAAAUAUUAUAUAAUAAGAUGUACUAAAAAAUAUACUAUGAUAAAUGGUCGGAUGGUAAGUUUUUGUUGAGAUGAAUAUAAGACUAUAAAGGUAAAAUUAUUAGUUAAGCUCCUGUACAUAGGGGAAGAUUGCAUUUCGGCCCCUUUAUUGAAAAAAAAUGAGCUAAUUAGUCUUUAUAUAUUUUGAAAUAUACAAAUUAACUCAUCUGUUAAAGUUUAUCUCUUAAAUAAUGACGUGAAAACUGAUUCGUAUUGCCCAAUCAUGUCACGAUCAAUCGCUUUGAUGCAUAAUGGGAUUCAAUUUCAUCACACCGAGGCCUUACUUUUUCACCAGAGGAUUACAAACUCCAUUGACUUUCAUUUUUUCCUUUUGUAUCUAGACUUGAUCAUGGGUUGAGCCAUUCUGUCCAACUCAAAGGCAAGUCCAAAAAGUAAGAAUAUUUAGUGGUAGGGAAAGAGGCUAGCAAGGGCCUUACACCCUAUCCUAAUAUGGAUUUCAAACUCUUCAAAAUUUAUAAAAGCACAAGUUAGACAUAUAUGAUAAAGUUAUAAUUUAACCUCAAAAUUGUUAAAAUUUCAAUUUAAUCAUUUUAAAUACUAUAAAAUAUAACUAAAUACAUAUUUUAACUCUCAUAAAAUAUAUAUAUAUUAAUCUCGAUUUCUUUAAAAUAAAUUUCCAACUUCUCCCUGCAUUUAUCUAAUUACAUACUAGUUAUUAGUUUGUUAUUUUCAUGUUAUUCAUUGUUAUUAGUUGAAUAAAUCGAAAACUAAACGCAUAAGCACAAAAUAUUAUUCAAAGCUCCAUUUUAUUCAAUUUUUUCAAAAUUCAUCACAUGUUUCUUUCGAAAAGAAUAAAAUAAAACAUUCGUUGACAUGUUCAUUUUUCAUACAUGUAACUUAUUGCAGCAUGUAAGAAAACAAAGAAACAAUGGAGGCCAAUGAUCCAAGAACAGGCAAGGUAGCGGCAGCCACGCUGGAAUCCGGUCCUGAUGCUGGGGCGGAACCAGGAGAGGAGCUAGGACUAGAACCACCGGCUGAAGGGGCAGGAGAUGGUGCACCGGCAGCCAUGACGACGCUCAUUGAGGCGGCAGCAACAAUGAUGGCGGUGGAGACCUUCUUCAUGUCCAUGGCGUAUAAAGGGGUUAUUAAACGCACUGGAAAUGAAUGAGACCUGCGUUUAAUAACUGGUGAAUGGGGAUCCGCCGGUGAUUGUUAUUAUUUGCUUUGUUAUUGCAGGUCUGAAGAACAAUGAUGGUGGGGUGGAUCUUUUAUAGGUGAAAAUUCAUGGCUAUUUUUAGUGACAAAAGUUCAAAAAAAAUUUACGUGUUUGGUUCUCGCAUGGUUUGCGGGAUAGACAUGCAAAAUUUUGAAUUUUUUUUAACGAUUUUGACUGGAUUUUUUGAUAAAGGGAUUUUAAUUUUUUUUAAGAGAGGGAGAGUAGUAAAUUAACAGUAAUUACAUCAACAUCAUCUUGUAAAUUAUUUAGAAUGGAAGUAUCAAUUUGUUGGACAGAAAAAACAAAUUAACAAAGGUCCAAUUGAUAGUCAAACAUCAAAUCAGCUAAGGCAUUAGCUGCUCCAUUACAUUUCUUUAAAUAUGCUCAAUGUGAACCACUCAUGCUCGAGUGCAAAACAUUUUUAUUUUGCAUACUAAUGUCCUGUUCACUACGCUUUUAUAGUCACCAUUAAUUGCUUAAACUGCAGUUAAAUAAUCACAUUCCAAAACAACCAAUUUCCACCCUUCAAACCAAAGUAAUUUAAGUCCACCAUAGAUUGGCCAAGGUUCUGCUUGUUGAACACUACAUUUCCCAAUAUUGUGACUGUAGCUAAAUCUGCCAUGGUUAUCUUUAGCAGUCUCAGUUGAGUAGGCAAGUCCGAUAUAACGUUUCUUUGCAUCAUUUGUGUUUAUUUUCACAUAACCAGCUAUUGGUUGUUGCCAGGUGCUUAGUCUAAUUUGAUUUUUAACCUUGAUUGUUGAUUCUCUAUUAUGUUUAACAUUCACAACUUAACUCCGAGUCAAUCCUACAAGCAUUCCAGAAUUAUGAGGAACAUUUCUAAAAACUUGGAGUAAAAUGAAUGUGAAAUAAAUUGCUUCCAUACUUCCUGAGCUUUGGAAAAUCAUGAAGUAUAUGAAGAAUAUUUUCUUUUGCAAAUCCACAAAUGCAGCAAUUAGCAUCAUUCGUCAGUCCGCAUCUGUAUCUUUCCAUACUAUUAUUCACACCCUCUUUGUCAUUGUUCCUAUCUCCAUCCUCUUACAUGGCAGGAGGCAAAAGGAGGGGCUGAUAAGGGCUUUACACCCUUUCUUAAAAUGGGUUCAACUCUCCAAAAUUCAUAAAAACAUAAGUUAAAUAUAGGGUAAACUAUAAAAAUAAUUAUUUUUGUUUGUCUUAGAUUACAUUUUGAUCAUUGAUAUUUAAAAUGUUACGUUUUGGCCACUUACAUUAUCAUUUUGUUAUGAAGUAGACUAGGAUGAGAAUAGCUUUUUCAGUCAAAAUGAAAAAGAAAGCUAAAAGAAAGAAGACAAACAAUCUUUAUUGUCCAAUUUAAGGUGCAAUUAAUUUAAAAUUCUCAAUAAAAAUGAACAACCUAUUCUCGUUCUUAUCGAAAAUUUAAGUUAAUACGUAAGUGAUUAAAACUUAACAUUUCAAAUAUAAAUAAAUAAAAUAUAAUAUGAAGCAAACAAAAAUAAAAAUACAUAUUUUAAUAUGGAUUUCUCUUAAAAAAAAUUCCCAACUUACCCUGCAUUUAUCUAAUUACAUAUUAUUUAUUAGUUAAAUAAUUCAUUGAUAUUUUCAUGUUAUUAGUUGAAUAAAUCGAAAAGUAAACGCAUAAAAACAAAAUACUUUUCAGCUCCAUUUCAAUUUUUUCAAUAUUCAUCACAUGUUUCUUACAAAAAAAUAAAAAAUAAAAUAAAAUAUUCGUUCACAUGUUCAUUUUUCAUACAUGUAGCACGUAAGAAAACAAAGAAACAAUGGAAGCCCCAACCAAUGAUCCAAGAACAGGCAAGGUUGCGGCAGCCACGCUGGAAUCUGGUCCUGGUGCUGUGACGGAAGCAGGAGAGGAGCUAGGACUAGAACCACCGGCUGAAGGGGAAGGAGCAGGUGCACCGGCAGCCAUGACGGCGCUCAUUGAGGCGGCAGCAACAAUGAUGGCGGUGGAGACCUUCUUCAUGUCCAUGGCGUAUAAAGGGAUUAUUAGACGCACAUGAAUGAGACCUGUGUUUAAUAACUGGAGAAUGGGGAUCCGCCGGUGAUUGUAAUUAUUUGCUUUGUUAUUGCAGGUCUGAAGAACA